CCGGGACUCCCAUAGCGGCAGAGGCAGCGGCCCGGCCGGCAAGCCGUGUAACCAGAGAGACCGGCAGGAGCAGCAGCCGCGGGCACCGGCACUUCCGCCCACGUGCGCGUCGCGGCCGGAAGUGACGAAACGCGCCGCCGCGGGGAAUGCCGGAGUGGGCGCAGCCAGAAAUCAAAGAACGAGUCUCAGAUUGGGAUUACCUUGAACCAUAGCACAGGACUGGGAAACAGCAGAGAUGAAGAAGAUGAGAAUUUGAGUGUAAGAAAUGAACAUCAGUAAUGAACUAGACCUUGGACUUCUGUAGGCUGAGAAUCCAGCUGACAUCUGGAUUACAUUAAUGUGAAGAUAAUAUGAAAAAUAUGUAUAUACAAAAUCAGAAUAUUCAUAGACAUUCAUAAAUUCAUUUUAAGCCCAUUAACAUGAUAAUUAUUGUAGAAUUGAUUUUGUCUAUUUUUGGUUUUGGAUUAUCAGUUGCUUUUUUCCCUCUUGAUCCUUACAAAGUUCAUUGUGACUAUUUCGAUGCACUUAAAAUAAUAGUGACAUUAAUUUCAUGUGCCUACUUUACUGGACCAGUGUGUUCAGAUAUUCAGUUAAAAAUUAUUCUGGGUGUUUUUAGAAAGUCAUUUUUGGAUGAGAUUGACAUUUUUAUCAGUAGAGAAAAACAGAUUGCUUUCCAUAAUGCAAGUGGUCCUCUUCCAAUCAGUGGAAGGUCUCAGUAGAACAAAAAGACCAGCCCUCAAAAGAGAGAGAAUUCUCUGGGCUAUGUAUUGCCCCUAGGCACCUCCACUAUUAGUUGUUGUGAGUCUUGAACUUGUCAUCCAGCACUGCAGAUUUGGAUUUGCUGGCCCUCGAAGUCAUUGUACCAGAUCAUCAUCCUCUGAAGACAGACAGAUACCUAUAGAGUCUUACUCUGAAGAGUCCUAAUACAGUAGUUUUGUUUACAUGUGAAUUUGUUUUGUGCAUUUUGCUGUUUCAUAUCAGAUAAACCUGUGAAUAACUCACAACACUAGAUUAAAAUCGAAUGGAGAUUUUUAGUUUUCUUUUUAAUGCAAAUUUUAAAAAUAUAGGAUUUAGAAACUAAAAUACUUUGCUGGUAAAAAUAUGCUAAAUCAAGAUUUAUGAAGUUAUGCAAAGAAGGUUAAGGCUAUUUUUACAGGGAUAAAUGCAGGAAUCAAUGAAAAACAAAUCCCAAAGAGAGCCACAUACUCACAUUUGUAUUGAACACUUAAAAAUCAAUAGGUGUAGGGGCUGGGGAUUUAGCUCAGCGGCAUAAGCGCCUGCCUUGCAAGCAGGCAGUUGUGAGUUCGAUCCCUGGUACCAAUAAAAAGGAAAAAGAAAAAAAAAAAAAUAGGUGUUACAGUAUAGAGAAUUGGAGAAGGGACAUUUAAAAAAAUAAUUGUUUGAUUUGAUUUUAUUAUGUGUGAUGGUAUGAACAGCUAUUUUGAAGAAAACAAGACCUUAUGACAGCCAUUGCUGAUUUAAUAUCAUCUUGCUUUGAAGUCCUACCAUGCUUUUGUUCUUCUGUUUCCAUUAGUUCUAUCAUGUUGUAUCUUACUGGAUUUUAACAUAUGUGAUAGUAUAAACAAAUUUUUAUGGAAAAAGAGAUAAUGUAGUAGCCAUUGUUCAUUUUCUGUUAUUUGAUUCUGAAUGCCCUGUAAUACUUUCAUUCUCUUGAAUGGUUUUAUACUAUUUUAUGUUCGAUACUAUUGUAUGUGAAGGUAUGCUCAACUAUUUCAAAGAAAGAGACAUUAUGGUAGCUAUUAGGUUGUCUUGUGGUGAAGUACUGUGUUGCUUACAUUGUUCUGAUCUGCUUUGUUCUGUCCUUUUUUGUCUUAAUCCCUUUAAAAUAAAAAAAUUAAAAAUAAUAAUUGUGCUAGAAUAAUUUCUUAUCUAAAUGGAAAAAAAUGAAAGUGUGUAUCAUCUCUAAAACUUUUAGAAAAACAAAAACACAAGUUGAAUCAUAGUCCUCCUUAUGAAAGGCAGAAUUAUAAAGCUGUUGAACAUAAUCUAGGAUUAUAGCUUUAGAAGCUGUGGAUGAGAAAGAUGUGACAAGCUCUGGCCAUAAAGAGGCUGAUAAAAUGUUACACUAUCAUUAAAAGCUCUAGCUCACAAAACAUGAUAAAGACAAUAAAAAGACCAACAGCAGAGUUAUAAAUAAUAUUUGCAACACACACCGAGAGAAUUUAAACACAAAAUAAUUAAGUAACUCUUAGAACAGAAAAGCCAACAGAAAAAUAGACUAGUCUUUAUAAUGUGAUAAAUCCUUAGCCAAAGAGAAAAUCCAGAUGACCAAUACAUGAAAAGGUGUUCAAACUCCGAGGAAAUACAGCAAUUGCAAAUUAAAGCCACACAUCUAGCAAACCAGCAAAAGUUAGAAAGACUACUAUACCAAGUGUGGGUGAAGAGACGAAGCAACAAGAACUUUCAUUCUGCUGUUGCUAGAAGUACAAACUGAUGACCUGUCUUAGAAACAUUUGAUGUCAUCUAAGAUUAAGGAGAUGCUCUUCUACAUGGCGUUCUAUGCUUUUUAUGUCUAGAGAAGCCACAUCUUGAUUGCCACGGUCCACUUGAGAGGUUUGGGGCAGUUUAAUUGACCAAUGCCUUAGUUUCCCAAACACCAUGGGUGGCUGGAAACUUUGUAAGAUCAAAUCUAUCUUCUUCCUCCCUUCCUUGUAUUUCCUGCUUCUCCCCACUAUGCACUGUGUACACUGUUAGUGCUCCAUUUGCCUUGUCAUCAAUUGACACUCUCAUCCUCUCUUCUCCUCUCCCAGCACGAGCUCAAGCUGCCUUUCACCCACUCCUCUUCCAUGUGGCUUCAGCUAUCCUGCAUGUGGUGUUACACUUCAUACUAGCUCAGCUGCAGUCUGUGAACAUUCUCUCCCGUCAUGUUCCUUUCAUGGGUCAGGAUGAGAUGGGUUUUGCUGCAGUAGCAAGUGAUGCCCUUGGUUCUGUCAGCUCAACACGUGACCACUGUAGUCACUGCCAGAGGGAAGAUAGGAAUGUGAUCAUUAUGUGUAUCUAAAAUAUACCAAUAAAACUAAUUUAAACCAAAAGGAAGACAGGGCAAGAAGGCUAUACUCUGUGGUUUCAAGGGCGAGGCAUGGUGGUGAAUUUCAGUGCUUUCACUCAUGUAUGCCUGGCCCAGCCCUGUCACAUCGCCCUUGCCCAGUUGCAGAGAGACUGGGAAACCAUCUUCCUGGUGCCCAAGGACAGAAAAAGAAUGUAAGCUUGGCAGGCACAUGGCAUUGCCUCUGGCACCCUCAUUUAGCUGCCAAUCACACUAUUAAAUAGCCAUUCAAGAGCCAGUCUCUGCUGUGUAUCUUGGGCAUCACAAGAAAAAGCCAUUGCCCUUAAAGUAGUGAGGCCAAGAUACAAACCACCAAACGUGAAGUAUCAAGACUUACAUAAUGGUUUGACGAAUAAUAAGCUACCCGCAACGGCAUAGAAUGACACCGAGGCUUGGGAUAUUAAGUUUUGGUUGGUAAUGAGGCGUGGAGGAAUCGUUAAAUUCCUUGAAGCAGAGAUGUGACUUUUGUGUUAGGUGGGUGUCCAGGAGACUCAAUAAAUACUUUCAUUGAAUUCUUGGAGUGGUCAUUCUCAAAGUGUAUCCCAGAGAUUCAGGGAUCUGCGAGACCGAACCUGUUUUUGUCAUGUCGGGCUGUUUACUGUUUUCUGUCCAAAGGUGGGGAGAGGCUCUGGCUGAGCAGCCUUGCAGCAGUGGUGACAGAAGGAGCUGGACAGUCUACUCAGGGUGGAAAGGAGAUCCAAAGUUACAACAGCACCUUUAGCUAACAAGCCUUUUUUUAUGGGAAAGCACUGUUACUUUAUUACAGUGUUUGUGAUGUUACCAUGUAUUUUUUAUUGUUCUUUUGAAGAUUUUUGUCUUUAUUGUAAGUGAUUCAAUAAAUUAGUUUUUAAACAUUC